AGUGAACGCUGGCGGUAGGCCUAACACAUGCAAGUCGAACGGCAGCACAGUAAGAGCUUGCUCUUACGGGUGGCGAGUGGCGGACGGGUGAGGAAUACAUCGGAAUCUACUUUUUCGUGGGGGAUAACGUAGGGAAACUUACGCUAAUACCGCAUACGACCUACGGGUGAAAGCAGGGGAUCUUCGGACCUUGCGCGAUUGAAUGAGCCGAUGUCGGAUUAGCUAGUUGGCGGGGUAAAGGCCCACCAAGGCGACGAUCCGUAGCUGGUCUGAGAGGAUGAUCAGCCACACUGGAACUGAGACACGGUCCAGACUCCUAAGGGAGGCAGCAGUGGGGAAUAUUGGACAAUGGACGCAAGCCUGAUCCAGCCAUACCGCGUGGGUGAAGAAGGCCUUAGGGUUGUAAAGCCCUUUUGUUGGGAAAGAAAAGCAGCAGGUUAAUACCCCGCUGUUCUGACGGUACCCAAAGAAUAAGCACCGGCUAACUUCGUG
rnacentral:rRNA from 1 species